rnacentral:tRNA from 1 species
GAGGCUAUGGUGUAACGGUUAACACAGAGGUUUGUGGAACCUUUAAUUCGGGUUCGAUUCCCGAUAGCCUCCCCU